rnacentral:tRNA from 1 species
UAGAAUAUGGUGUACAGGUAGCACGAAGAAUUUUGAAUUCUUAGGUCAGGUUCAAUUCCUGUUAUUCUAG